GAUGAACGCUGGCGGCGUGCCUAACACAUGCAAGUCGAGCGAUCUUCUUCGGAAGAGAGCGGCGGACGGGUGAGUAACGCGUGGGUAACCUGCCCCGUACACACGGAUAACAUACCGAAAGGUAUGCUAAUACGAGAUAAUAUGCUUUUAUCGCAUGGUAGAAGUAUCAAAGCUUUUGCGGUACAGGAUGGACCCGCGUCUGAUUAGCUGGUUGGUAAGGUAACGGCUUACCAAGGCGACGAUCAGUAGCCGACCUGAGAGGGUGAUCGGCCACAUUGGAACUGAGACACGGUCCAAACUCCUACGGGAGGCAGCAGUGGGGAAUAUUGCACAAUGGGCGAAAGCCUGAUGCAGCAACGCCGCGUGAGCGAUGAAGGCCUCGGUCGUAAAGCUCUGUCCUCAAGAAGAUAAUGACGGUACUUG
rnacentral:rRNA from 1 species